rnacentral:rRNA from 1 species
UACGGAGGGUGCAAGCGUUAAUCGGAAUUACUGGGCGUAAAGUGUGCGCAGGCGGCAGAGCAAGUCGAGUGUGAAAGCCCCGGGCUUAACUUGGGAAUUGCGCUCGAAACUACUUUGCUGGAGUGUGGCAGAGGAAGGUGGAAUUCCACGUGUAGCGGUGAAAUGCGUAGAGAUGUGGAGGAACACCAAUGGCGAAGGCAGCCUUCUGGGCCAACACUGACGCUCAUGCACGAAAGCGUGGGGAGCAAACAGG